rnacentral:tRNA from 1 species
GGGGAUAUAGCAUAACCUGGUAGUGUACCUGGCUCCAGACCAGAGGAUGGGGGUUCAAAUCCCUCUGUCCCCA